AUGGAAGACGAAGAGGUGAAUAUCGAAGAAUUGGCUGCCAAUCUUUCUACUUACGAAGAGCAACUUCAGCAGGAAUGGGAAUGCAUCAUGGAGUAUAAGAGAUGAGGUCUUGCAAUUAAGGAUUUAGAGAGAGAGAAGGACGAGAGGAAUAGGGGACGGCAGUGGCGGCGACAGCUGCUAGACGCCGGCAACGGAGAGCAGCGGCUGCUCGGCAACGACGACACAGACGGGCAGAGGCGACGUCGCUGCCUGUGCGUCUCCGGCAGUGGCAGAGAGGGCGAGGAGCAGGGGCUGACCGCGACUUCGAUGCGGUGGCGCGACGGGCCGAACAGCGGUGGACAGCAGCGAUGAUGCUGGAGAAUUUCAGUGAGGCAGCGCUUUGACAGCAGUGGUGGAGCGGAGGAGACGGCAGCGGCGGCGGAUUGUCAGAGAGAGAGCGAACAACGACGAACGCCCCCUUGUGGAAGAGCUGCUCGACGGAGAGCUGUAGAAGAGUGUGAGAGAGAGAUGACAGGGUGUGCUUGAUUUGAGAAGAGGAUUCCAAUUCCAUUUGGAAUUUCACGUUAGGCCCACUGUUUUGAUAAAGGAGAUGGCUUGGAGUUAAUUUGGUUUGGUCCAAAUUAAUCGAAUGGAAGAUUGAGUCGAAGUGGGUGACUUCACGCACGCUUUUCGAGAACCGAACGAAAAAAAAAAUUUAAGGCUUUAAGAGAACGAGGUUGAGCGUGACGGGUGCGGUGGGUGUUGAGCAAGACCGUUGAAGAAAUUAAGUGUUUAGA